UACGUAGGGUCCGAGCGUUGUCCGGAUUUAUUGGGCGUAAAGAGCUCGUAGGCGGUUCCGUAAGUCAGAUGUGAAAACUCAGGGCUCAACCCGGAGACGCCAUCUGAUACUGCGGUGACUGGAGUCUGGUAGGGGAACACGGAAUUCCUGGUGUAGCGGUGAAAUGCGCAGAUAUCAGGAGGAACACCGGUGGCGAAGGCGGCCUGCUGGGCAGUUGCUGACACUGAGGCGCGACAGCGUGGGGAGCAAACAGG
rnacentral:rRNA from 1 species